rnacentral:rRNA from 1 species
AUUGAACGCUGGCGGCAGGCCUAACACAUGCAAGUCGAGCGAGCGGCGGACGGGUGAGUAAUGUCUGGGAAACCGCCUGAUGGAGGGGGGUAACUACUGGAAACGGUAGCUAAUACCGCAUACCAUCAGAUGUGCCCAGAUGGGAUUAGCGAGUAGGGGGGGUAACGGCUCACCUAGGCGACGAUCCAUCGCUGGUCUGAGAGGAUGACCAGCCACACUGGAACUGAGACACGGUCCAGAUUCCUACGGGAGGCAGCAGUGGGGAAUAUUGCACAAUGGGCGCAAGCCUGAUGCAGCCAUGCCGCGUGUGUGAAGAAGGCCUUCGGGUUGUAAAGCACUUUCAGCGGGGAUGCGUUACCCGCAGAAGAAGCACCGGCUAACUCCGUGCCAGCAGCCGCGGUAAUUC